UGUGGGGCAAAUCACAUCUCCCAGGGGUGUGGUGAAGGUUCAUGAAGGAUUGCAAAGUGCCUCACAGAUGAAAAAUGCUUCAGAAGGAUCAUCAUCCUUGUCAUCACCAUGCUCCUGUGAAACACUAGACAGGAUCGUUGCUGUUGUAGGCUCCAGGCUAGCCCCAAGUGAGUUCGAAUGUGCCUUUCCUGUGGUCUGCAGGGGCUGUCGGUGUCACCGAGAAGGAAGUUCAGCCUUCACAGGCAUUCUGCCGAUGGACGCCAACAAAAGGGCCAGUUCCGGUGAUGAGCUUUUCAGCGUGGACACAUGACCACUAGAGACUAGGCUGAUCACAUUAAAGGAUUUUUUUUUCUUAAGGUA